rnacentral:rRNA from 1 species
AUCUCUGGCUCAGGAUGAACGCUGGCGGCGUGCCUAACACAUGCAAGUCGAGCGAAGCGGUUUUAAGGAAGUUUUCGGAUGGAAUUAAAACUGACUGAGCGGCGGACGGGUGAGUAACGCGUGGGUAACCUGCCUCAUACAGGGGGAUAACAGUUAGAAAUGGCUGCUAAUACCGCAUAAGCACACAGCUUCGCAUGGAGCAGUGUGAAAAACUCCGGUGGUAUGAGAUGGACCCGCG